UGUUACAUUAAUAAGUAAAUAAUACUUUGGUGGGAAUUAUCAGCCCUGAAGAUGGAAGCAUCAUGUUUAUUUCGAAACUUGAUGUUUACCCACACGAGACAUAUCCAACAGAAAAACACCAAUUAUAAAUAAUAGAUAUGUUGGUAUCAAGAUAGUCAUUCAAGAUUUUGGUGAUCUGUGAUUUUGGUUUGACAUGGUCAGAGGUGAAAACGCAAUUUAAAUUUGUUUUAAAAGUGUUGCGGCAGAUUGGUCACUCGAAUGGAUUUGAAAGUGGCAUACCAUCGGAUAUGAUAGAAUAAUGACAUGAUUGAAAGAAAAUUAUGUUUUUUUCUCUCUGAAAGUCGUAAUAUAGCAUCGUAACACUAGCAGUCAAGAACUAGGACCUUUGUCAUGGCUGCAGUGUCAAACUGCCGGCUGACACCACCAAACUGAAACAGCAGCUCCUUCCAUAGAAAUGAGAGGCUGCUAUAAUCAGGACGUGGGAUCAGUAUCAUCUUGUUAUAUGUCUGGGCAAGGGCUUUCUGGUCACAAUCCCAUGGACAUCGAGAUACCCCAAUGAGCAGAACCUGCAAGAAUUUACAACCAUUCAUGGUGCACUUUGAGGUUGUGGCUGUAGGAGGAGGCCUUCAGGUAUGGAGGAUAGCAAGAAGCUGUCAUGGACAGUCAACAAGGAGUGAUUCAUCAACUUGGGGGGUUGGAUGGGGGAUUAAUUAAUAAUUUCUCACUGUAAAAACCAGUAUGCUAUAAAAUGUUAUGCAGGGCCUCAGAUUUGGACAGAUUCUUUGCAGUGAGCUAAGAAAUGGAAAAUGAGUAUGAGAUUUGGAUCUUGGAAUAUCAGCAGUCUCUAUAGGUCAGUUUCACUGAAAAUAGUAGAAAGAGAAUUAGUAAAACAGAAAUUAGAUUUAUUGUUUGUACAGAAUGUGAGAUAGGACAAAGGUGGCACUGAAACAGCAAAUUCUUCCACAAACUUAAUAAUUUUAUUUUGAACAAUAAAGAACUGCCAGGGAAUGUGAUAGGAGAAUAAGUAAACCAUGUCUCUGCACAGCUGAAUGGGACAAGAGCAUUAUCACCUUCCAAUUUAAUAUUGGAGAAUUUUGUCAAAACUCUCAAACCACUUCAAUUUUAAUUUAGAUUGGAUAAUUUCAAAGAACAUUUAAUGUAAUGACAUAAAUACUUUUUUGAGACUAUCUCAUGUACUUGUGAAGAAGUUGCAUAAGUUAUUUCUUAGCCUACUUGAAUAAACUAAAAAUUAGUUGCAUAAAUGGAUUUUAGCAACUUCAUUGAGACUGAUAAAAAUUAAUCGUUAUAACCAAAGAUGAUGUUAUGUGCAGUUCGGUUGAAUUUUUGUUAUGUAUUUGGCAAUACCUAACUUUCUUUUGUCUUGGCCAGAAUAGUGUAAUAUGCACUUAUUUAUGAAGAAGUAGAUACAGCUAGGUGUAUUAAUUAUUGAGGAAUACAUACAAAAUUCUGCCCAUCAUUCUUCUCUGUAAAUUAACUCCUUAUAUACCUAUAGGUGAAAUUAUUGUGGACCAUCAUUAUUAACAUUUUUGAAUAAAUUGUGUCCCAAAUCACCCCUCAGUAUAUGGAGGACUAGUUGUGAAACACUUGGUAUAAUUUUCUCUAAUCCUUUAUGACUUCAUCUUCGUGAGUUCAAAUUUAUUUUUUUGCAUUUUGUUCUUAAAUGUCCUUAUGGGGUUUUUCUUAAUCUGAUGCAAUGUCAUUUUGGGGCUGCAUUUUAAAAAUAGGACGGGUACAAGUAAAUGCUCUCUGAUAAAUGUGUGUACCUGGAAGAUGAGGUGGUUGUUUUACUGAUUUCACUUUCUGC